rnacentral:rRNA from 1 species
GUAGGGAAUAUUGGACAAUGGGGGGAACCCUGAUCCAGCCAUGCCGCGUGGAGGAAGACUGCCCUCUGGGUUGUAAACUCCUUUUAUAUGGGAAGAACCGUCCUCAUUAAUGAGUGACCUGACGGUACCAUAGGAAUAAGCACCGGCUAACUCCGUGCCAGCAGCCGCGGUAAUACGGAGGGUGCAAGCGUUAUCCGGAUUCACUGGGUUUAAAGGGUGCGUAGGCGGAUAAAUAAGUCAGUGGUGAAAUCAACGGGCUCAACCUGUUAACUGCCAUUGAUACUGUGUAUCUUGAAUAUGAGAGAGGUAGGCGGAAUGUUGCAUGUAGCGGUGAAAUGCUUAGAUAUGCUACGGAACACCGAUUGCGAAGGCAGCUUACUAUUUCGUAAUUGACGCGGAGGCACGAAAGCGUGGGUAGCGAACAGGAUUAGAAACCCGUGUAGUCC